rnacentral:rRNA from 1 species
UACGUAGGGUGCAGGCGUUAUUCGGAAUUACUGGGCGUAAAGCGUGCGCAGGCGGUUUUGUAGGUCUGUCGUGAAAGCCCCGGGCUCAACCUGGGAAUUGCGAUGGAGACUGCAAGGCUUGAAUCUGGCAGAGGGGGGUAGAAUUCCACGUGUAGCAGUGAAAUGCGUAGAGAUGUGGAGGAACACCGAUGGCGAAGGCAGCCCCCUGGGUCAAGAUUGACGCUCAUGCACGAAAGCGUGGGGAGCAAACAGG